UCUUUUCUUUAUGGGCCUUAAAACAGGUUAUUAAGGUGGGGGAGUUGUGGCACAGGUAAUUAAGGUGGGGGAGUUGUGGCACAGGUAAUUAAGGUGGGGAGCUGUGGCACAGGUUAAGGUGGGGGAGUUGUGGCACAGGUAAUUAAGGUGGGGAGCUGUGGCACAGGUUAAGGUGGGGGAGUUGUGGCACAGGUAAUUAAGGUGGGGGAGUUGUGGCACAGGUAAUUAAGGUGGGGGAGUUGUGGCACAGGCGUCUGCAGCAUUUGCACAACAUUCAAGUCCGAGUGCCCAUGGAGACCUGGGUUCAAAUUCGACCUGUAGUCAACCUGCCCUCUCUCUCUCGCUCCCACUCGCUUCCCUUCACUCUUUACUGGCCUGUCCGAAUAAAGGCAAAAAGCCCUUCAAAAAGGGACGAGAGGUAAGAGAUGUUAAGAUGCUAAAUCUUAACAUCUGCCCCCACCCCCAACCCCCACCCCUAUCAACAAGAUACUGGGCAUAUCACAGAAAAAACACUUACAGAACCCUGCAUAAUAACUACGUCUGUAAGUUCACUACAGUCACAAUAUGUACUACUGACACUUAUAUAGCAACCCUUCAGCGUAAAUGUGCUUGUGUGGCUUCAGCUGCUAAUGAGGAGACGAGAGUAUGAUUGUUUGGACCUGAAGCUGUGAUUGAGUUUCAGACAUUCAAUGCGGGCUGGGUGGGUGGAGCCAGGGGUUGGU